rnacentral:rRNA from 1 species
GAACGCUGGCGGCAUGCUUUACACAUGCAAGUCGAACGGGGUUGGGAGCUUGCUUCCAAUCUAGUGGCGAACGGGUGAGUAAUACAUCGGAACGUACCGUGUAGUGGGGGAUAACGUAGCGAAAGUUACGCUAAUACCGCAUACGAUCCACGGAUGAAAGCAGGGGACCUUCGGGCCUUGUGCUAUACGAGCGGCCGAUGUCUGAUUAGCUAGUUGGUGAGGUAAAGGCUCACCAAGGCGACGAUCAGUAGCGGGUCUGAGAGGAUGAUCCGCCACACUGGGACUGAGACACGGCCCAGACUCCUACGGGAGGCAGCAGUGGGGAAUUUUGGACAAUGGGCGCAAGCCUGAUCCAGCCAUGCCGCGUGUCUGAAGAAGGCCUUCGGGUUGUAAAGGACUUUUGUCAGGGAGCAAAACUUACUGGUUAAUACCUGGUGAGGUUGAGAGUACCUGAAGAAUAAGCACCGGCUAACUACGUGCCAGCAGCCGCGGUAAUACGUAGGGUG